CCGUGGCACUGUCAAGUCAUCAGACGCGGUGAUUGCGAGGCCUGUGGGAAAGUACAAAAGCCUGAGCUAGAUUACCCCUCUCAUCGAGCCCGCCUGUGUGGCACCUGUUUCUUAUCACCCCACUAAGUUCCCGCCUCACAGGGUAGUCUGCCUAGCUAUUAAUCCUAUAUAUAGCCAGUGCCUCCACCCCCGAGAGAGAGACUGAAGCACGAAAGGAGCCGCGGAGAGCGGACCGGUAGAGGCUUCGGGGCAGACUGUAUAAGGAGAGAAUAAAGAAAAGCCUGACCACCGCCAGACCUUGUCGUGUGUCUUUCCUGCCGGCCGGGAGCGACAUCGACAUUUGGUGGCCCGCACGGGGAUUGAUCAACCCCGAGACACGGCGGUGGACUGCAUUCUCCUACACAGUGCUGCAGCUGCAGGACAGGAAUCGGGACGAGAGCCAAUGUGGGUCCCAGAGAGGUUGACGCGACAAGUCCCUCGACUGAAGAUCAGGCCUGUUCCACCAGAGGCCAACCGCAGACCCAACAACAAGAUGAGCCCUAAAAGAACUGCAGGACAAUCCCUUUUUGGGGGCCUGGAACGGCUUGCUCCCCUAUGUGCUACCCUUGUAUACGCAUGGCUCGCUCGCAUGGCCUACGACCGCAUUUAAAAGUGACAGGCUUCCCACAUUCUCCUCCCUAGACAACAACAUGUAGCAGGGUGGGUGAGUCAAUGACGGGUAAGAGCGUGCCUCCCCAGCACGACUCAACCUAAGCCAGGCCCUACCCCGUUCCGCUCGAAAGCCGCUGGAUUGUUAGAUAAAUUUCUCUCUGAGGGGAUUCGUGGAGAGAAAUGAGUGCAUGCCUAUGUGCAACCAGCUUCCGUCCGGUUCAUUCCUGGCCCUAGAAAAAAGGACGAGGGCCUCAAGGCCUUGGUGGACCCUGGGACGGCCGACCAGGGUCUACGCUAAGGGCCUACGGUGGGCCUCAGUUCGGGGCAUAGGCCUCUGCACUCUAUCCAGGACGGGCUGCGAUGCGCGUAGCCAUCAUUUAAAAUAAAAUAGGGGGAGAUGUUGGGAGCCGUGGCACUGUCAAGUCAUCAGACGCGGUGAUUGCGAGGCCUGUGGGAAAGUACAAAAGCCUGAGCUAGAUUACCCCUCUCAUCGAGCCCGCCUGUGUGGCACCUGUUUCUUAUCACCCCACUAAGUUCCCGCCUCACAGGGUAGUCUGCCUAGCUAUUAAUCCUAUAUAUAGCCAGUGCCUCCACCCCCGAGAGAGAGACUGAAGCACGAAAGGAGCCGCGGAGAGCGGACCGGUAGAGGCUUCGGGGCAGACUGUAUAAGGAGAGAAUAAAGAAAAGCCUGACCACCGCCA